rnacentral:sRNA from 1 species
AGCUAAACCUGACAGGAACGAGCACGAGCCCAUUUGUUUCAAAUGGGUAAGUAAAGUGGAUGGCAGGACUUUCG